GGAUUGUGGCUCAGCGGUAGAGCACUCGCCUACCACGUGUGAGGCCCUGGGUUCAAUCCUCAGCACCA
rnacentral:tRNA from 1 species